rnacentral:rRNA from 1 species
GAUGAACGCUGGCGGCGUGCCUAAUACAUGCAAGUCGAGCGAAUGGAUUGAGAGCUUGCUCUUAUGAAGUUAGCGGCGGACGGGUGAGUAACACGUGGGUAACCUGCCCAUAAGACUGGGAUAACUCCGGGAAACCGGGGCUAAUACCGGAUAACAUUUUGAACCGCAUGGUUCGAAAUUGAAAGGCGGCUUCGGCUGUCACUUAUGGAUGGACGCGCGUCGCAUUAGCUAGUUGGUGAGGUAACGGCUCACCAAGGCAACGAUGCGUAGCCGGCCUGCGGGGGGGAUCGGCCACACUAGAACUGAGACACGGCCACGACUCCUACGGGGAGCAGCAGUAGGGAAUCGUUCGCAAUGGACGAAAGUCUGACGGAGCAACGCCGCGUUAGUGAUGAAGGCUUUCGGGUCGUAAAACUCUGUUGUUAGGGAAGAACAAGUGCUAGUUGAAUAAGCUGGCACCUUGACGGUACCUAACCAGAAAGCCACGGCUAACUACGUGCCAGCAGCCGCUGUAA